rnacentral:tRNA from 1 species
GGUCGGAGCGUCGGGAUUGGUUAGAGCGUCACAUUGACAUUGUGAAGGUCAGAGGUUCGAAUCCUCUGCCGCCCACCA